AGAGUUUGAUCAUGGCUCAGAUUGAACGCUGGCGGCAGGCCUAACACAUGCAAGUCGAACGGUAACAGGAAACAGCUUGCUGUUUCGCUGACGAGUGGCGGACGGGUGAGUAAUGUCUGGGAAACUGCCUGAUGGAGGGGGAUAACUACUGGAAACGGUAGCUAAUACCGCAUAACGUCGCAAGACCAAAGAGGGGGACCUUAGGGCCUCUUGCCAUCGGAUGUGCCCAGAUGGGAUUAGCUAGUAGGUGGGGUAACGGCUCACCUAGGCGACGAUCCCUAGCUGGUCUGAGAGGAUGACCAGCCACACUGGAACUGAGACACGGUCCAGACUCCUACGGGAGGCAGCAGUGGGGAAUAUUGCACAAUGGGCGCAAGCCUGAUGCAGCCAUGCCGCGUGUAUGAAGAAGGCCUUCGGGUUGUAAAGUACUUUCAGCGGGGAGGAAGGGAGUAAAGUUAAUACCUUUGCUCAUUGACGUUACCCGCAGAAGAAGCACCGGCUAACUCCGUGCCAGCAGCCGCGGUAAUACGGAGGGUGCAAGCGUUAAUCGGAAUUACUGGGCGUAAAGCGCACGCAGGCGGUUUGUUAAGUCAGAUGUGAAAUCCCCGGGCUCAACCUGGGAACUGCAUCUGAUACUGGCAAGCUUGAGUCUCGUAGAGGGGGGUAGAAUUCCAGGUGUAGCGGUGAAAUGCGUAGAGAUCUGGAGGAAUACCGGUGGCGAAGGCGGCCCCCUGGACGAAGACUGACGCUCAGGUGCGAAAGCGUGGGGAGCAAACAGGAUUAGAUACCCUGGUAGUCCACGCCGUAAACGAUGUCGACUUGGAGGUUGUGCCCUUGAGGCGUGGCUUCCGGAGCUAACGCGUUAAGUCGACCGCCUGGGGAGUACGGCCGCAAGGUUAAAACUCAAAUGAAUUGACGGGGGCCCGCACAAGCGGUGGAGCAUGUGGUUUAAUUCGAUGCAACGCGAAGAACCUUACCUGGUCUUGACAUCCACAGAACUUUCCAGAGAUGGAUUGGUGCCUUCGGGAACUGUGAGACAGGUGCUGCAUGGCUGUCGUCAGCUCGUGUUGUGAAAUGUUGGGUUAAGUCCCGCAACGAGCGCAACCCUUAUCCUUUGUUGCCAGCGGUCCGGCCGGGAACUCAAAGGAGACUGCCAGUGAUAAACUGGAGGAAGGUGGGGAUGACGUCAAGUCAUCAUGGCCCUUACGACCAGGGCUACACACGUGCUACAAUGGCGCAUACAAAGAGAAGCGACCUCGCGAGAGCAAGCGGACCUCAUAAAGUGCGUCGUAGUCCGGAUUGGAGUCUGCAACUCGACUCCAUGAAGUCGGAAUCGCUAGUAAUCGUGGAUCAGAAUGCCACGGUGAAUACGUUCCCGGGCCUUGUACACACCGCCCGUCACACCAUGGGAGUGGGUUGCAAAAGAAGUAGGUAGCUUAACCUUCGGGAGGGCGCUUACCACUUUGUGAUUCAUGACUGGGGUGAAGUCGUAACAAGGUAACCGUAGGG
rnacentral:rRNA from 1 species